GAUGAACGCUGGCGGCGUGCCUAAUACAUGCAAGUAGAACGCUGAAGCUAGGUGCUUGCACCGAGCGGAUGAGUUGCGAACGGGUGAGUAACGCGUAGGUAACCUGCCUGGUAGCGGGGGAUAACUAUUGGAAACGAUAGCUAAUACCGCAUGACAACAGUUAUUGCAUGAUAACUGUUUAAAAGGGGCAACUGCUCCACUACCAGAUGGACCUGCGUUGUAUUAGCUAGUUGGUGAGGUAACGGCUCACCAAGGCGACGAUACAUAGCCGACCUGAGAGGGUGAUCGGCCACACUGGGACUGAGACACGGCCCAGACUCCUACGGGAGGCAGCAGUAGGGAAUCUUCGGCAAUGGACGGAAGUCUGACCGAGCAACGCCGCGUGAGUGAAGAAGGUUUUCGGAUCGUAAAGCUCUGUUGUAAGAGAAGAACGAGUGUGAGAGUGGAAAGUUCACACUGUGACGGUAUCUACCA
rnacentral:rRNA from 1 species